CAAGUAAUCAAAUCAUUACACAGAAAAAAAAUAUCUGUUUACCCUACUUCUCCCUGAGAAAUGAUUGUGUCGCUAUGAGUACAAAAUCCAAACCAGAAAGGAACUAGCAAGAGAUAGACAAGGUUACGAUGUGAAACAAGGAGGAGAAAUUUUUUACUCAGAGCUUGACCUCCACAUCAACACCAGCAGGAAGGUCAAGCAACAUUAACUUGUCGAUAGUUUGGGCAGUCGGGUAAAGAAUGUCAAUAAGACGUUGAUGAGUUCUUAUUUCGAAAUGGAACCUGGCAUCUUUGUGAACAUGUGGAGAUUUGAGGACACAGUAAAUUCUCUUUUUGGUGGGCAGUGGUACAGGACCUACGGUCUUUGCAUUUGUCGUUCUUGCAGCAUCCAUAAUUUGCUUACAAGAGUCUUCUAUUAGGGGUACCCAGUAUGACCUCAAUUUGAUCCUAAUCUUCUGCUUUGGAGCUGCCUUGUCAGAGUCACCACCAAUACUCAGCGUUGAAGCAGCUAGAAUAUCCUCAACAUCAGCUUCAACAUUCUGGGCAUCCAAAACUUCAGGAGAAGCAAAAACCUUAGUUGUAGACACUCGAGAUUGGUUGAAAACUUGUAACUUAACAGAAUUUGAAUGCAAAGACAGAAGAGAAAACUUGGGUUGUGCAGAAAUGGAAGAUGAAUUACACAUUGGAAAAAGAGCUGCUGAGAGUGAAGACGAUGAAAUCGCCAUUUGGGUAUUCACUAAAGUUCGAAUUUGGUCUCUAAUGGAGAUUGGAGCUCUCCUCCUUAGGAGCUUCUUCAAUUUUUCUGUGUUUUAAAG
rnacentral:misc_RNA from 1 species